AAAUGCGCGCCGCUUAAACCACAUCUGAAAUCUGUUUCGUGGAAAUUCUAGAGAGAGAAAAGUGGAGAGAGAGAGAGAGGCAGGGAGUCUCGUGGGAGGCGAGGCGAUGCAGCGAACUGGAAGUGUCCGAGCGGAGCAUAUUCGGAUCGGAACCCUAACCCUAAAUGACACAUUCGCCGGAGAGAAACCCUAAGCCCCCGCCGUUCAAGCGUCGGCCGAGCUGGCCGGGUCUCUGGUUCAAAGAGCAAGAGCUCAAGCAUGUUGUUCUCAAGAUGCGUCUCCAAUCACUCUCCACACCUUCGUCGCCGCCAAAUGAGCCUUACCAAACCCUAGACCUAGCCCUGGACCUCACCUCCCUUCUGACUGAUGAGAUUCUGCUUCUCAUAUUGUCCAAGCUCCCUGAAUCUCAGUACGUCUCUAAUUCGUUGGUUUGCAAGCGAUGGUUGAAUCUUCAAGGUCGGUUGGUUCGUGCCGUAAAGCUCUCGGACUGGGAUUUUGUCGAUUCGGGUCGCCUUGUUCGCCGUUUCCCCAACCUCACCGACGUUGACCUCGUCCCUGCUUGCAUUCGUGCACCGCGGAAUUCUGGAAUUUUAGUUACUCACAAAUUUGUGUCGGCUCAUAUCGAUUCUCAGUUUUUGCCGCAUGGGUUUAUUGGCGAGGAUGAUUUGCUAUCAUCCGAUUUGAUUGAUAGAGGGCUUCGGGUACUUGCUGCAGGCUGCCCUAAUUUGAGGAAGCUUGUUUUGGUUAGUCCAACUGAGGGGGGCUUGUUGUGCAUUGCAGAAAUGUGCCCAACUUUGCAAGAAUUGGAGUUGCAUUGUUGUCGUGACCUGUCUUUGAGGAGCAUUUCAGGGUGUAGGAAUCUACAAAUCUUGAAAUUGAUUGGUCGUCUUGAUGGGUUUUACAAUUCGGUGAUGUCUGACGUUGGAUUAACGAUUUUGGCUCAAGGGUGUAAUCGGUUAGUAAAGCUUGAGCUUGUAGGGUGUGAGGGGAGCUAUGAUGGGAUCAAAGCGAUUGGUCAGUGUUGUCAAAUGUUGGAAGAGCUGACCCUUUGUGAUCAUAGGAUGGAUGGUGGAUGGCUGACUGCAUUGGCUUAUUGUGGGAAUUUGAAGACUUUGAGGCUUCAGUCUUGCAAGAGUAUUGAUUCAAGUCCAGGGCCCGAUGAGCAUUUGGGUGCUUGUCCUACGCUGGAAGAAUUGCAUUUGCAGAAAUGUCAAGUGCGAGAUAAGGCAAGUGUGAGAGCAUUGUUACUAGUAUGCGAGGCUGUUAGGGAGCUUGCUUUUCUUGAUUGUUGGGGAUUGGACAAUGAUGUAUUCAGCUUUGCAAGUGCUUGCAGGAGAGUGAAGAUUUUAUCUUUGGAAGGAUGCUCCUUGCUGACAAUGGAAGGUUUAGACUCUGUAAUUCUUUCUUGGAAUGAACUUCAGAGGCUUAGAGUAGUAUCAUGUAACAAUAUAAGGGAUAGUGAAGUCACUCCAGCAGUGGCUGCCUUGUUCUCUGUCCUUAAAGAGCUGAAAUGGCGGCCGGAUUCCAAGUCUCUUUUGUCAUCAAGUCUUGCAGGGACUGGAGUGGGAAAGAAAGGUAGAUUUUUCAAAAGGGUAUGAAGAUUGAACUUGCUACUUUGUUUUUGAGUACCUGGGAUUCUUUAGAUCAGGCACUCAGAUGAAUCACUUGGCAGUUGCAGAAGGCUUUGACAAAUGUGAUCCGAAUUCCACAAUAUGCUGUUAUUAUUCUGUUGUGAUUUCAGGUGGUUAAUGUGAUCAAUAUUACAAGAUGAUUUGCCUUUUUUGCUUACACAGAGUUUGCCGAAUGGAAGUAGCAUUUUAAACAUUUUGGUCCCCCCUUCAGAAAUUAUGAAUGUGGGAUGACUGGUUCGCCCGAGUUUUCAUUUUGUCGAGCCAAAUUAAGUUCUUUGAUGUACUCUAAUGUUGGCACAGUUCCUCUAGUAUUUGACGAGAUGGGAGGAUUUCACCUCUUGAGCUCUGGCAACUAGUCUUGUGUGCCCAAAUUAAUAUCUUGUGUAUGCCUUGCCCCUCAAAAGAACAAAUUCAAGUAAUCUCUUCACUCCUCAGAGGAGGAGUUACAAAGUGGAUAACUAAAUGCAAGUUUGAUGGUUAUAGAGUUUGCGUACUGCCCCUUGCCAUGGUGGUUGCAUAUGGAUGGAGAAUGAAUGAAAAAAAUUAGAAGAAAAAGAUGUAUUGAGAUACUGAAGAAAGAUUUGGCUCAUAAUUGAAGUGGCAAACAGUACUUAUGCUGCUGAACCCAGGAUGCUUUGUUGAGUAAAUGGGUAUUGAGAUACUGAAGAAAUAUUUGGCUCAUAAUUGAAAUGGAAAAACAGUACUAAUGCUGCUGACUGAACCCAGGAUGCUUUGUUGAGUAAAUGGGUCUUUCAGGUGCUGGAGUGCUGCCGAAGACAGGAGCACAUGUGGGGAUUGCUAUUGUUUCAACAUGGAGUUUAAUUACUGCCAUCCCCCGUUGCCUCUGAAGCAGCCCAUGGUGUGCAGUAAAAAUUUCAUAGAAUGUUGGUGGAUGCGUCAAUUGUUUGGCAGUUUGGCCGACAGGACAGGUGUUGAGCUUAAGCUUUUUAUGCAUGGGUGAGUGAAACCUAAGUUCGUGAUAAUUCUCCAGUUUUUAUAGGCGUGUUGGGGCUGACUCAUUUCAUGGUUAGUGCUGCAAUGUAUGACUACCUGCUGAUUUACUGCAUUUGAUAUGAUUGUGAGACAUUAUUUGGACCAUAUGAAAUAUCAGUAGUGCUGUGUUUGAAGGUUUUCCCUGGUGGGGUGAAACUUGAGCAAGUUGUCUGUUGGGAGAACCGUGAAUAUUGUAUUGUUUUUAUUUAUGAAAAUUGCUGUAUUUGGUGAAACUCAUGAAGACUUGGUAUUAAAGAUUAUUCGCAAGUAGAAAAUCUUUACAA